rnacentral:rRNA from 1 species
AUGAAUUGCCUUAGCUGGAACUGCCGUGGGCUUGGGAACCCAACGGCAGUUCAUGAGCUUUGCAGUGUAGUGAAGCAAGAAGGGCCCUGUCUUCUAUUUGUAAUGGAGACAAAGAUUGCAGCGAAAAUAGUGGAAAACCUAAAGAAUCAACUUGGUUUUGUAGGCUGUUUCGCAGUAGACAGUGAUGGUCUAAGUGGAGGUAUUGGUUUGUUUUGGUCAGCCGAAGUGCAGGUUGAACUUCAAAACUAUAGUUCUGGCCAUAUAGAUGUAAUGGUGCAGAAAAGUGAUCACAUCUCUGAAAAAUGGAGAUUCACGGGAUUCUAUGGAGCCCCACGAGCAUCAGAUAGACACCAUAGCUGGAGAUUUCUUCGAACCUUAUUCUCCAUCCAGCACCCAGCAUGGUUAUGUAUUGGUGACUUCAAUGAAACCUUAUUUGCAUCGGAGCACUUUUCACGAGCUGCCCGUCCGGAGUGGCAGAUGAGGGCGUUCCGAGACAUAAUUGAUGAGUGCUUGUUCCAGGACCUAGGGUGGACUGGAAUGGAGUAUACAUGGGAUAAUGGCCAAGCAGGUGAUGACAAUGUUAAAGCUCGACUGGAUAGAGCAUUUGGCAACCCGGAGCUUAUCAACCGUUUUGGCCAUACCAGAGUUCGACACAUUAGUACUACGGAGUCUGACCACUGCUUUGUGCUAGUAUAG